ACGCUCGACACCUACGGGAGGAGCAGUGGGGAAUAUUGCACAAUGGGGGAAACCCUGAUGCAGCGACGCCGCGUGGAGGAAGAAGGUCUUCGGAUUGUAAACUCCUGUUGUUGGGGAAAAAGAGGAUGGUACCCAACAAGGAAGUGACGGCUAACUACGUACCAGCAGCCGCGGUAAUCUGAGCGGGCUGGCAAGGC
rnacentral:rRNA from 1 species